UCAUUUUUGUGAUGUUGCAGCUAGUAAUAUGAUCUCAGUUGCAUAGUCACAAAAGUGAUU
rnacentral:pre_miRNA from 1 species